CCUAUGACAAUGCCUUUCAUGGGUUCAGUGCAGUUCUAUCUGCUGAUGAAUUAGUGACUCUAAAAAAGUCACCGGGUUUCAUCUCAGCUUACGCUGACAAGUCCAUUACGCUCGACACCACCCACACCACUCAGUUCCUCAACCUCAAUCCUUUCGCCGGGCUGUGGCCUGCUUCAGAUUACGGAGAUGACAUCAUCAUUGGUGUCAUUGAUACCGGUCUCUGGCCCGAGAGUGAAAGCUUCAGAGAUGAAGGUAUGACCAAAAGUCUUCCAGCUAGGUGGAAAGGAAAAUGCGAGGUUGGACAAGAGUUCAAUGCCUCUCUUUGUAACUAUAAAUUGAUUGGAGCUCGAUACUUUAAUAAGGGUGUCAUGGCUGCAAACCCCGAUGUCACACUUAGCAUGAACUCGGCUAGAGACAGUUUAGGGCAUGGGACGCAUACAUCUUCCACAGCUGCGGGGAACUACGUAGACGGAGCAUCUUAUUUUGGUUACGCUAAAGGAACAGCCAGAGGCGUAGCACCGCGUGCCAGAGUUGCCAUGUACAAGGUUAGCUGGGAUGAGGGGCGUUAUGCCUCUGAUGUUCUAGCUGGUAUGGACCAAGCUAUUGCUGAUGGUGUUGAUGUUAUUUCAAUUUCCUCUGGCUUUGACGACACACCAUUGUACGAGGAUCCCGUAGCGAUUGCUUCAUUUGCAGCCAUGGAGAAGGGUGUGGUGGUUUCAGCUUCAGCCGGAAAUGAAGGCCCCGAGCUUGUGACAUUGCACAAUGGCAUCCCUUGGGUCUUGACCGUUGCAGCCGGCACAAUAGACCGCUCAUUUGGAGGAGCAUUAACCUUUGGUAAUGGUUUAACCAUUACUGGAUUUACCUUGUUUCCAGCAAACUCCUUAGUCGAAAACUCGCCACUGGUUUACAACGAGACAUUCUCAGCAUGCAACUCAACCGCAGCGUUAGAAACUGCCCCAGAUGCGAUCAUCAUAUGUGAUGACACGGUGCCUAUUCGUAAUCAAAUAUCUUACAUCAUUCAAUCGGGGCUUCUUGGAGCUAUCUUUAUUACCAAUAAUCCUGAGAUACGCGAAUUAGGUUACGUUGUAACUCCUAGCGUUGUGGUGAAUACGAAGGAUGGGCGGACUGUGAUCGAGUACGCACUAAAAAGUGAAAACCCUACUGUCAGCAUAAAUUUCCAACAAACGUUGCUCAAUACAAAGCCUGCCCCCGCUGCUGCUUUUUACACUUCGAGAGGUCCUUCAAAAAGUUAUCCGGGCAUUUUGAAGCCGGACAUAAUGGCCCCGGGGUCAUUAGUUUUAGCUGCUUGGGUUCCUAAGGUUGCAGCAGGUAAAAUCGGGUUCAAUGUGAACUUACCUAGCAACUACAAUCUGAUAUCCGGGACAUCCAUGGCAUGCCCUCAUGCUUCAGGUGUAGCUGCUCUACUGAAAGGUGCGCACCCAGAAUGGAGUGCAGCAGCAAUUAGAUCUGCUUUGAUGACCACAGCUAACCCAUUGGACAAUACCGGCAAUCCAAUUCUUGACGACGGUGACAAUUUCAACUUUGCUUCACCAUUAGCUAUGGGAGCAGGUCACAUCGAUCCUAAUGGAGCACUUGAUCCGGGCCUAAUAUACGAUGCAACUCCACAAGAAUAUGUCAAUCUCUUAUGCUCCACCAACUUUACGCGUAACCAAAUCUUAUCCAUCACUAGAUCACACGCCUAUGAUUGUUCCAAACCAUCUUCUGAUCUCAACUAUCCAUCUUUCAUCGCGUUGUACAACAAUCAUCACAAAACAAAGAAAAGGGUUCAAACAUUUCAGAGGACCGUAACGAAUGUGGGAGAUGGCGCGGCUAGGUACAGGGCUUCGGUGACUGCUCCAAUGGGUUCUCAGGUAACAGUCUCUCCAGAGAUACUGAUCUUUGCAUACAAGUAUGAGAAGCAAAGUUUUACGGUCACUUUAAAUUUCAAUGCGAAGAAGAAAGGGAACGCUUCUUCUGGCGCACUUGUUUGGAUCGAACAAAAUGGGAAAUACACUGUCAGGAGCCCAAUUGUAGUGUCACCUCUUGUUUGAGCUGAUGGUCAAGUAGGAUGUUAAUUUUGUUGGAAGUUCAAAUAAAAACAUUAUUACAAUGUUGGCGUGCUGCUAAGCAAAAUAAAUGCCAAUAGUAUGGAAAUAGUUGUCUGCACAACUAUCCUUUUCAACUAGCAUGGUUUUAAUCCUUCUGCAGCUGCACCUUCCAAAAAUUAAAGCUUCCCAUGUGUAGACCGAAAUUGUGGAUUGCAACCAGUGGAAUAAUGCAGAGUGUGUGCGUGCAAAAGUCUAAAGCUGCUGCAUGUGUUUUAAAGGAUGUAAAGACUUUGAACACCUUCAUUUAUUUUGUAUGUGUUAGUCUUUGUUUUGUAUUGUUUAUUAAAACCACUUGUGUGGUUCUUUAAUCUCCAUGUAUAAGUAAGCCUUCCCGUAAGGCUUUUUGUAAUUCCAUUCCCAUUUUCAGCAAUAGAGUUGAAACUCUUUUUAAUAUAUUAAGUGCAUGUUUUUUCAAGAAGCUUGCUGCUUCUUUCUUUUCUUUUGUCCAGCUUCAUAAAGAGAGUAACAAGUGAGAGGUGUGAUUGAGUUAGAAAACCUAUCACCCACAUAAUUGGUAUUGAGUUUGUAAACUCUUGAAUACCAACAAAUUUCAUAAUAGAAUUGUUGUUAUUAUUAAUUUGUUAUGAUUUUUUUUUUAUAUUGUUUGGAUGUGUUGUUAGUUCUUAUAUAAUUUUUUAGCUUCAUCAGUCGAUAUGGUUUUUUGUUUUGAUUAAUUGAUGUGUGUAGAAAUUAGAAUUAUGGAACGAUAUUACAAGCAAAAAUCAUCCUUGAUUUGUUUAUGUUAGGACCACCCGAUGUUAAAUCCUGGAUCCACCAUUGUAUACAUAUAUAUAUAUAUAUAUGCAGGGAAGAAUUUUGAGAGUUCUUUAAUAUAAUGUUCAAAUUAAUUAUACAAGGCGUUUGAAAUCCCCAUAUAUAUAUAUAUAUAUAUAUAUAUAUAUAUAUAUAUGUUGGGGUUUAAAAAUGUUUCACUACUUUGGAGAUGUUUAUCUCACAAAGAAGAGUGUGACGUAACGGAAUUUGAUAGGCAAAAAAAAAAAAAAAAAAACACUCAAAGUAUUAUGCAAAAUUUUGUUCUUACACAAACUAAUACAAAAGGAAACACUCAAACACUCUCACAUUUCUUCACUCUUUUUCUCACUUCUUGCUCUCUUAUUUACAUCACAACACUCUCACACCUAUAUUUAUAGGCAAGCAUUAGCAACUUACCAAGUCGGUGGAAUUUGGUUCUUCAUCCUAAACUCAAGUUAUAAUUAUUCUAGAGUUUUCUAUAACAAUCCAUUAAGCAGCCUUGCCGACUUAAUAAGCUAAAAUGCUAGAAUUGUCUAGCAUAUUAAUAUGCAUGCAUGAUGCACCGACUUUGGUGCUAGAAUUCUCUAGUAUUUUCAGGGUAUGCACCGACAUGUCUUGCUAGAAUUAUCUAGCAUUUGCAUGAAUCUUGUGUUGCCUUUUCAACAUGGGCUGGACCCGGCCCAACACAAGAUUACAAUUCAACAAUAUAUCUGUGUGCGCGCGUAUACAAUGUUGAGGGAUUGCAAGGUUUUCCAAGCAGAGAAUUUUCGAGCGGUACUAGUUGUGGGAAUGGACAGAAGACCGGCAGCCAUCCAGGAAUCCCUCAUCAGCCAUCCAGGAAUCCCUUAUGGAAGGAGAAGUUUGAAUAACUCUCAGGGUGAAAAAACAGCAUGAACCUGACAUGUACUACAGGACUGGUGGCACUGUGCCGCUCCAAUAUCUGAUGCGAAGAUUAUUUUGAACGUAAAAAUCUUAUGUUCGAAGUAAUGCGUUUCACUUUCGAUGGAAAUAGGGUUAGGGAAGAUCAAACUCCUGAACAGCGCGAAAUGGAGGACGAUGCUACUGAUGUAUUCUCUGAUCAGCUUGGCGGUCAUGCUCUCAAGUUUAAUUAAUUAACGCCGCGUCAUCUUUUUGCCAUAAUUAAGGCAUGUUAGAACGUUCAUUUUGAAUUUUAACAGUUUAGUACCCAUGCUUUGCAAAAUUGUGACAAUCUGGGUCUGCCGUUAGGAUAAUUCAUUCACUAUUUUUUUUUUUGGGACAAUGAACAUGUUCUAUGUGCUUUACUUGUUACAUAUAUCAUCUGAUCUCUUAUGUUCAUGUUUAAUUUAAUUUCUAUUAGGCACAUUUUUCUUCUUCGUUUUUUUAAGGUGCUGCCAAGACAGAUCUUUGACUGAACUUAGAUUAGCUUUAAGAUAUGUGUUCUUCUGUUUGUUGCCUGAUAUAAAAAUGAAUUCAUCGAUAGGGAUUACCACUCUGAUUAGCUCAAUCUGAAGUACUGCAAAACCCGGCCUAAAUGACUGAAACAACCGUAAGUGUUUGGCACUAAUUUCUGUUUGAAUUAGGUGUUUAUGCUAUUCACUCCCUCUUUUGUUGUUUGGUGUUUGGUAUCUGGCGUUUUGGAAAUGUAUGCUUUGUGAGUUUCUGCAAUAUUUAUAUACCAAAUCCUGUUUGGAAUUAGGAUCUAAUCCAUCGGCUAAUGAUCUAACGACAAGAAAACGUUAGCCAUGCGAUGAACAGUUUGGCACCAGAUCAACAACACCUCAAUCGCUUCUGUUCGGAUACUAAAAAUUAAACAAUUUGACAGCCUGCUUGCUAAUUAAGUAAUUAAACAUUUUUUACAACCAACUUCUUGAUUAGAUGGGUAUUAUGUUCUUGGCGUCUUAACGAUGCUCUCAAUUAACCUGGCCUAAAACACAUGAUAGAUGUACUAUUCCCACUUUCUUAAUUAUUCUUAACCGAGGUUUGUAAUAAUUAUAUCUGUUACAUCCAUUUUUAAUUUAAAUUGUAUUUUCAUUAAAUUUGAAUUUAUCUUGUUUUUAAAAUAGUUUUUGGGUCUUAAAUGUUGUGCCAAGGGGACCCAUCCCCUGUUUUGUCCCCGGUUCCCUUUCAUUUUUCUUUUAUUUUUCUGAAAGUCUUCCUCUUUCUCUCUUCUCCCUCACAUCACUCUCUCUCGGCUCUCUCUAUCUCAGCCCAUCCGAGAGCUUUUCUUAUCAACAAACAACACCACAACAACAUCAACAUCUCCAUUAGCACCCUAGUGAGCUUAGAAUCGAAGAAAGAACACCCCAAACCCUUUUCUUCCUUUCGGCCGGAACUGUUCAUCGUCUUCCCCGAUGAGUUUCUUGAUUUUUCAAUGUUGGUAAGCUUCUAAAAACCCUUGGGAUGUGUUUUAGGGUUAGAUUGAAGCUUGUUUUAAGUUGUGUAUACGUUUGAAUCAUAGAAAAUAGCUCGGGAAAGCUUUUCCAAAUUUUCCGGCGAGCACCGCCACUUUCGACGCAUUUUCCGGCCAAAACACGGUGAUUUGGCCGGCGUACAAGGUAUAAAUCUCUUCGUCUCGCUGGGUACUACAACUUUCCUUUUUGUUUCACCCAAUUUCGUUGAGUAUUGAAGAAGUUUUACUCAUUGAAUCUUACUCAGUUUCCGGUGACCUCCGAGGCUUUCGAGGCAUUUUACGGUCAAAUCACGGCGAUUUAGACGUCGUGUGAGGUAACAUUCUCUUCGUCACUUCGAGAACUACAACUUUCGUUUUUGAAUCAAUCGAUUUCGUUGAGUUUUGACAAAGUUAUGACCGUUUAAAGUUGGUGUAGAUUUUUUGGCCAAAUUCCGGUCUUCUUCUUCCUUGGGUCCUGCGACCCACCAAACCCAAGCCCUUUGGGCCUUUCCUGCCGAGCCCAACCCAAAACCUAUUUCAGUUUUUAUUAUUUAUUUUAUUAAUUGUUUAAAGUUAAAGGCAUUUGGACCAAAUUAGCUAAGACCCUAAGCUUUUUUAUCUAAAAACCCAAAACCCUUAGACUUAAGGUCUUCGGGCCUUUUGAACCAGGGCCCUAAGCCCUCUCCUCUAAACCUAGCCCACCUAAUUAGCUAAACCCUUAACCCUAACCUGUCUAAACCCUUUAUGUGGAAUAUUCCGUCAGGGAAUAUUCUAGGAAUAUUCUAAGAAUAUUCUAUUGACUUUUACGAAAUUUAUCCGGGACUCUUCUUAAGGUAAUUCGACGUUCUGAAUCCGUUUCCAAUGUCAGUUUUCCAAAUUCAAUUGCUAUUAUAUAGUUUUAUUUAUUGGAUUCUUUAUGUGCUUAGAAGCAAUUAUAGUGGUGUUUCUGUCUUCGCUAGUUGCGUGGCUCUUCGGUGGCAAAGUUUUGUGAGUGGACCCCUUCUAAAAAAAUGCAUGUUUUAAUAGUAGAAAUGCAUACAUGAAAGGCAUGAUUUAAUGAUUACGUUUUAUUAAACGUUUUGAGAUAACAUGUUUACUAAGGGUAGGUUGAAUUAUUACUAUUUUUCCUAUAACUCAUGUUCUUAUAGAAUAUCCGAUGGAUGACGAUAUGAUAUUUAGAACAUGUUUCGAACAUCUCUUUAUAGUAUAGAUGAUGGAUGAUUUUAUACUAUGAAGUUGCUUUUCAAUAUAUAUAUGUUCAAUGGUUUUGUACUUACCUAGUGGUUCCUUUCAUUACGGGACGUAGGGAUAGGUUCCGGUCCGUCCGGGCGACGUUUUGGUGUUGGCAUAGGGCCUGGAGUGUGUUUCUUUUGGCUAUUUAGCACAGGGACGGGGAGCCGACGUGGGGCCUGAAGUGUAUUUUUCUCUGACUGUCUGCUCAGAGACAGGAAGUUGGCAUGGGGCCUGUGGGUUAUCGGACAUUUCAGUAGUGAUUAUUACAUAUGAGUUAUGAUUUGAGACAUUGCACGACAUGCUAGGUUUUGGAAAACCUAUGUUUAACAUUAUAUAUGUGUUUUCAUAAAACCUGGGGGUUAGUAAGUUGAUAACUGUUUUAUUAUAUAUAUAUAUAUAUAUAUAUAUAUACAUAUAUACAUAUAUUCAUAUCAACUUGUUCCACUCAUGUUUGUUUUGCGCCUCCUUUAGGACUAGAAUUGAGGCAUACAAUCCUGGCAUCCAGGUACUUUCGCAUCGGCAUCUUCGAGUCAUUUUGGUGUAAGACCCAUUCUUUUAUUCACUCCAUUUUAUAUUAUUUCUUUUAGUAUUCUAGUUAGUUGUGUGUUUUGAACAUGUUUCUUAAAUGCAUAUUCAUUAUUUUUUUUUUCAUAUUUCUAAGUCUUAUGUAUUCCUUAUUCUCAGUUUUUGCAUUCAAUAAAUGGCUUUGGUCACCUUCGGGUGUCAGCCAGCACGUGCCUAUCUUGGUAUUCGAGGAAUAUCGGGAUCAGAGCGUGUCAAUAUCAAGAUACGUACUCUAUCUUAAUGUACUGACUUAGCUAGUUCAUAAUUUUACACGUAGGUUUUGUUGGGGUUUAAAGAGACUUCACUACUUUGAGGAUGUUUAUCUCACAAAGAAGAAUGUAAUGUACCGGAUAUUUGAUAAGCAAAAGAAAUAAAGAACACUCAAGGUAAUACAUAAAAACUUUUUAUUCUCACACAAACUAAUACAAAAAGAAACACUCAAACACUCUCAAACUUCUUCAUUUUUUUUCUCACUUCUUGCUCUCUUUUCUUUUCUUUGUUUUUUUCCUCACAAUUUUACAACUAAACAUUUUCUUGAUUAUUCUAGUCUAAGUCAACCGACUUGGCUUUUUCAAAUUGAUGCUAUUUUGCUAGAGUUUUCUAGUCAUAGCACACCGACUUAGACUUUGCUAGAACUCUCUAGCAUGUGCAUGAAUCUUUCCUUUUGCAUGGGCUGGAUCAAUUGUAUUGGGUCAAGACAAGAUUAUCAAUUCAAAAGGUUUCUUGUUUAGCACAACAAGUUGAAGCUACUAUGCUACACAUGUUAAAGUCUCACAUCGGUGGGGAUAAAAGGAAACCAUGAGUUUAAAUAUGAUUACCCCACUUUAACUAAUACCGAUGUUUCUUGUGGUAAAAACCUCACACCUGACGGAUUGGGCAUGUGGUAAAGUUAGGGACAUUAUUGGUGUCGUUAGAGUGGGGCCCGGACCAGUCGAUCUAAAAAAUUUCAACAUGAUAUCAGAACCUAUGGUUAUGAGCCUGUGCAAGCCAAAGGCUUGUCACAAAGAAGUGUGGGCUUGGAAACAAGCUUGGACUCUUAACAUAGAGUCGGCCUCUGAGUUCUAAGAGUCAUUUCCUGAAAAAGAUUGAAAACAAGUUUGGACUCCAUUGGAGCCGACCUCUGAGUUUCAAUUGACGAUGUGUGGAUCUCCACGUGUGAACCACUAAAUGGGGUUAUACGUGAGGGGAAGUGUUAAAGUUCCACAUCAAUGGGGAUAAAAGGAAACCAUGAAUUUAAAUAUGAUUACCCCACUUUAACUAAUAUCGAGGCCUUUUGUAGUAAAAACCCUACACUUAAUGGAUUGGCCAGGUGAUAAAGUUGAAAAUAGUAUUAGUGUCGUUGGAGUGGGGCUCCCCAGGCCCGUCAACCUAAAAAAUUUCAACAACACAUGCCGGCUCCUUUUCACUUCUGAAAUUCGGAGUAUCUCAUUCACAUCAUUUUUUGGCUUCUUUUGCACUGCAUUUUCUUUUUUACUUCUGAAAUUCGGAAUAUCUCAUUCACAUCAUUUUUUGGCUUCUUUUGCACUGCAUUUUCUUUGUUCUGAAAUUCGGUAUAUCUCAUUCACUUCCAUAUAUAUCAAGCAGUAGACUGUAAAUCCUUCCACAAGCAAAGCUCUGGUUGCUAAAAGAAACCAUGCGGCAUAACAAUGGGGUUCCUCUUCCCUUCAUUUUCUCUCUUGUUGCAUUGUUUCUGUUGGCUCUUCAUGUCAAUGUGUCUUUCGCAGAUAGGUCGACAUAUAUUGUCCACAUGGACAAGUCCCUCAUGCCCAAGUCCUACACUAGCCAUGACCAUUGGUACUCCUCCAUCGUCGAUUCAUUCAAAUCCGAAUACCCUACCUCAUUCGAUGGCAACAAAAUCUUGCCUUCCAUUCUGUACACCUAUGACAAUGCCUUUCAUGGGUUCAGUGCAGUUCUAUCUGCUGAUGAAUUAGUGACUCUAAAAAAGUCCCCGGGUUUCGUCUCAGCUUAUGCUGACAAGUCCAUUACGCUCGACACCACCCACACCACUCAAUUCCUCAACCUCAAUCCCUUCGCCGGGCUGUGGCCUGCUUCGGAUUACGGAGACGACAUCAUCAUUGGUGUCAUUGAUACCGGUCUCUGGCCGGAGAGUGAAAGCUUCAGAGAUGAAGGUAUGACCAAAAGUCUUCCAGCUAGGUGGAAAGGAAA
rnacentral:lncRNA from 1 species